rnacentral:lncRNA from 1 species
UUAAAAUCAAUAAGAAGGUUGUUGGGAUUCUUACAAUAAUGGGGAAAUCACUGGCUGAAAGCAGAGAGAGGCAACCACCCUUCAAAUGAAAAAUCCUCAAACUCACUGUUAGCCUCAUUCUUUUCCUUCUAAGCUUUUGCUUAUAGUACCCUGAAGCUGUUAAUAAUACUCCCUAAGUUAAACUUAACGAAGAGACCGGUAAAUUGAGGCUCAGAUCUGUGUUAAGCUCGAGCAAAACGAGAGUCCAACCACGCCAUGGCUGCAAAAACCAGCAUGCCCCGCCAAGAUACAGGUCGGAUAACCUCAAAUGCUCGAUUAAUCAGCUCAGAAGGGAAUAAAAAUUAACAAAACUCAUCAUCGUCUCUUUCAAACCAUCCAAUUAUACUCACCACCAUAGCUUCCACCAGCUCCACCGGCAACAUUCUGUGCUCCAGCAGAAGCAUUAAAAAAUGAGUUGAAGGGAAUAGAAACCCUUUUAAACAAUAUGUAAGAACAAUCCAAAUGAGCUGUUAAUUAUAUACGUCAAUCAACAUUUCUAAGGGUUUUCAUGCUUUUAAUAUAGAGAGCAGUAUUGAAAACACCCCUAAACUCUGCGCGAAAUAUUAGUUUCAUCCCCAAACAAUUGAGACCCUUAAAAACACUCCUUUACAUGACUAAUUGAACUAAAAUACACCCUCGAUCUUGCAACAUGAGUGAAAUACGCCCCUAAAUUCUCGUCAAGUUUAGGGGUGUUUUCAACACUUAUUUCGGUUUUUUAUUAUGAGUCUCAUGCUCCUACAAGAGUUUGAGACCGCUUGCUAAGUCAUUGAUAUGGCAGAUCAAGGAUGUAUCUAAGUUUAGUUAGUCAAGUAGAGGGGUGUUUUUUAAGGCUGUCAAUAGUUCGGAGACGAAAUUGAUAAUUUGCGCCAAGUUCAGGGGUGUUCUUUCUUUUAUCUUUGAUAUUGUACAGAUAAAAGGGUUGUUGGGAUUCUUACAGUAACGGAAAUCAUUGGCUGAAUGUUGAGAGAGGCAACCACCCUAUCAAUGAAAAAUCCUCAAGUCUCUGUAGCCUCAUUCAUUCCCUUCUGAACUUUUUGCUUUGUUUCUCAACUCAAACAUUUUCCUUCAUACGGAACACACCCUAAAUAUAACAAAAAAAAGCCAAGCUGAAUAGAGAAAAAUCGAGGCUCAGAUUUGUGUUAAGCUCCGGAAACAAGAGAGUCCAACAACGCCAUGGCUGCAAAAACCACCAGAAAAUCUGGGAGCAUGCCCCGCCAAGAUACAAUUUGGAUAACCUCAAAUGCCCAAUUAAUCAGAGCUCAGAAAGGAAUAAACAUCGGCAAAAAUCAUCAUUGCCUUUUUUAAGCCAUCCGAUUAUACUCAGCACCAUCGCUUCCACCAGCAACAAUCAAUGCUCCGGCAGAAGCAUUAGAGAAAAGAGAAUGCACUGUAUGGUCACAGCAAGGAAGUAUAGGUUAGAUUGAUAAGGUAUAUAUAUGUGUGUGUGUGUGUGUGUGUGUGUGUGUGUGUGUGUGUGUGUGUGUGUCUAAUUAGGUAGUUUUUCCUAAAAUUUAUAAAAGGGUUGUUGGGGUUCUUACAUCAAGGGAGAAAUAAUUGGCUGAUGCAGAGAGCGGCAACCACCCUUACAAUGAAAAAUCCUCAACUCUCUGUAGCCUCAUUCUUUCCCUACUGAGAUUUUUGACAUUUGUUUCUCAACUCUUGAAAACAUUUUCUUUCAUAUCAAACACACCCUUGAUAUUAAACAAAAAAAAAAAAACCCAAAGCUGAAUAGAGAAAAAUUGAGACUCAGAUCUGUGUUAAGCUUGGGCAAAAGGAGAGUCCAACCACGCCAUGGCUGCAAAAACCACAAGAAAAACUGGUGGCCCACCAAGAUACGAGUCUGAUAACCUCAAAUGCCCGAUUAAUCAGCUCAGCUUGGGCAAAAGGAGAGUCCAACCAUGCCAUGGCUGCAAAAACCACCAGAAAAGUUGGUGGCAUGCCCCGCCAAGAUACGGGUCUGAUAAUCUCAAAUGCCCGACUAAUCAGCUCAUAAGGGAACAAAAAUUGGCAAAAAUCAUCAUCACCUCUUUCAAGCCGUCCGAUUAUACUCACCAACAUCGCUUCCACCGGCAACAUUCAAUGCUCCGGCGGAAGCAUUAAAAAGGAGUUGAAAAAAAGAGUUGAAGGGCAUAGAAACCCUUAAAACAAUAUGUAACAACAAUCCAAACAAGCUGUUAUUUAUGUACUCCCUCCGUUUAAAACAGAUAAAAGGGUUGUUGGGAUCCUUACAGUAAUGGAGAUAUCAUUGGCUGAAUGUUGAGAGAGGCAACCACCCUUUCAAUGAAAAAUCUUCAACUCUCUGUGGCCUCACUCUCCCUUCUGAGCUUUUUGCUUUUUGUUUCUCACCUCUCGAAAACAUUUUCCUUCAUACCAAACACACCCUUAACAUUAAGCAAAAAAGAGCCCAAGCGGAAUAGAGAAAAAUUGAGACUCAGAUCUGUGUUAAGCUUGGGCAACAAGAGAGUCCAACCACGCCAUGGCUGCAAAAACCACCAGAAAAUCUGGGAGCAUACCCCGCCAAGAUACGGGUCAGAUAACAUCAAAAUGCCCAAUUAAUCAGCACAGAAGGGAAUAAAAAUUGGCAAAAAUCAUCAUCGCCUCUUUCAAGCCGUCCGAUUAUACUCAGCACCAUUGCUUCCACCAGCUCCACCGGCAACAAUCAAUGCUCCGGCAGAAGCAUUAAAAAAAAGAAAAAAAAAAGUUCAAAGGCAUAGAAACCCAUUUCAAACAAAAGCUGUUAAUUAUAUACUUCCUCUGUUUAAAAUCGAUAAAAAGGCUGUUGGGAUUGUUACAGUAAUGGGGAAAUCACUGGCUGAAAGCAGAGAGAGGCAGCCACCCUUCCAAUGAAAAAUCCUCAAACUCACUGUUAGCCUCAUUCUUUUCCUUCUAAGCUUUUGUUUAUAGUACCCUGAAGCUGUUAACAAUACUCCCUCAGUUAAAAUUAACAAAGAGACCGCUAAAUUGAGGCUCAGAUCUGUGUUAAGAUCGAGCAAAAAGAGAGUCAACCACGCCAUGGCUGCAUAAACCAGCAUGCCCCACCAAGAUACGGGUUGGAUAACCUUAAAUGCUCAAUUAAUCAGCUUAGAAGGGAAUAAAAUUGACAAAGAUCAUCAUCGCCUCUUUCAAACCAUCCGAUUAUACUCACCACCAUAGCUUCCACCGGCAACAUUCAAUGCUCCGGCAGAAGCAUUAAAAAGGAGUUGAAAAGAAGAGCUGAAGGGCAUAAAAACCUCUGAAACAAUAUGUAACAACAAUCCAAACAAGCUGUUAUUUAUAUACUCCCUCCGUUUAAAAUUGAUAAAAGGGUUGUUGGGAUCCUUACAGUAAUGGAGAAAUCAUUGGCUGAAUGCUGAGAGAGGCAACCACCCUUUCAAUGAAAAAUCCUCAACUCUUUGUAGCCUCAUUCAUUCCCUUCUGAGCUUUUUGUUUUUUGUAUCUCAACUCUCGAUAACAUUUUUCCUUCAUACCAAACAUACCCUAAAUAUAACAAAAAAAGCCAAGCUGAACAGAGAAAAAUUUGAGGCUCAGAUUUGUGUUAAGCUCAGGCAAUAAGAGAUUCCAACCACGCCAUGGCUGCAUAAGCCACCAGAAAAUCUGGGAGCAUGCCCCGCCAAUAUACGGGUUGGAUAACCUCAAAUGCCCGAUUAAUCAGCUCAGAAGGGAAUAAACAUUGGCAAAAAUCAUCAUUGCCUCUUUCAAGCUGUCCAAUUAUUCUCAGCUCCAGUGGCAACAAUCAAUGAUCCGGCGGAAGCAUUAAAAAGGAGUUGAAAAAAAGAGUUGGAAGGGCAUAUAGAAACCCAUUUCAAACAAAAGUUGAUAAUCAUAUACUUUCUCUGUUUAAAAUUGAUAAGAGGGUUGUUGGGAUUCUUACAAUAAUGGAGAAAUCAUUGACUGACUGCAGAGAGAGGCAACCACCCUUUCAACGAAAAUCCUCAAACUCCCUGUUAGCCUCAUUCUUAUAGUACCCUGAAGCUGGUAAUACUACUCCCUCAGUUUUAAAUUGACGAAGAGACCAGUGCAUUGAGGCUCAGAUCUGUGUUAAACUAGAGUAUAAAGAGAGUCCAACCACGCCAUGGCUGCAAAAACCAGCAUGCUCCGCCAAGAUACGGGUCGGAUAACCUCCAAUGCUCAAUUAAUCAGCUCAGAAGGGAAUAAAGUUACAAGAAUCAUCAUCGCCUCUUCCAAGCCAUCCGAAGCAAUAAAAGCAACUGUUAGCAAAAUUAUAGGAAAUAUAAUUGAAGAAGAAGAUGGCUUUAAGGCAUGAAGAAUCGCUUUCCUUAAAGAGAUAUUGCCCGUAUACAUAUUGGGAAAAAUACAAGCAAUUGCCUUCAAGAUACAACAAAGUCGUUGUAUAUACAUGCAUAUUUUUCUUUUUGGGUUACUUCCAGAGAGUCCUUAUAUUUAUAAAACUUAAGAGAUCGACUUUUCAUAAUAGUCAUGUUCUUUCAUGUGUUCAAUUUAAGACCUCUAUAUAUUACAAAUUAUCCAACAACAACAUACCCAGUAUAGUCCCACAUGGUGGGGUUUGAGAGAGUAGAGUAUAUGCAUAUCUUAGCCCUACUUUAGAGGUAGAGAGGUGGUUUCCACUAGACUCUCGGCUUAAGAAAAACAGUCCAAAGCAGUCCAGAAAGAGCAACAAAACAUAUUGAACAGUAACUACAAAAAUAUAUGAUAGUCGAAGUACAAGAAACUUCCAAUAGUAACAAAAUGAAAACACAAGAAACUAUAUGAGUAAUAUUAUGACCACUAGUAUGGGAAGAUCGCAAGACAAUGCACUACUAGUCUACUACCUACGAACCUCCUUCCCUAAUCCAUGUCCUCCACAAUAUGUAACAACAUUCCAAACGAGAUGAUACGUUUGUCCAUGAAAUUUUUUCAAUUAUUUCUGGAGUUGAACUCCGAAAAACAAGUUUGGCCAUAAAAUUUGGAAUUCAACCAUAGGAUUUGAAAAACAAAAAAAAGAUAUUUUUACUUUUUUCACUCCAAAUUACUCACAAAAAGUAAAAAACGACUCCAAUUUGUAUUCAUAGAAAAAUACAACUCUAAUUUUCAAAUAUAAUUUUUCAUUUUGAAAACAAACACUACAUUAUUUUCAAAUUUCACAAUGAAAUAUGACCAAACACAAACUAACAUACUUCCUCCAUUUUAAAUUGAUAAAAGGGUUGCUAGGUUUCUUACAGUAUGGAGAAUGCAUUGGCUGAAUGCAGAGAGAGUCAACCACCCUUUCAACAAAAAAAAUCCUCAAAAGACCUGUUAGCCUCAUUUUUUAUUUAUGAACUUUUGCUUAUAGUACCCCUGAAGCUGUUAAUAAUACUCCCUCAAUUGAAAUGGACGAAGAGACCAGUAAAUUGAGGCUCAGAUCUGUGUCAAGCUCGAGCAAAAAGAAGGUCCAACCACGCCAUGGCUGCAAAAAACAGUAUGCCCCGCCAAGAUACAGAUCGGAUAACCUCAAAUGCUCAAUUAAUCAGCUCAAAAGGGAAUAAAAAGUGACAAAAAUCAUCAUCGCCUCUAUAAAGACACCAAUUAUACUCACCCCCACCAGCAACACUGAAUGCUCAGGCAGAAGUAUAAAGAAAAAAUAAAGAGAAAAAGAGUUGAAAGGUCAUAGAAACCCAUUUCAAACAAAGCUGAUAAUUAUAUAUUCCCUCUGUUCAAAAUUGAUAAAAGGGUUGUUGGAAUUCUUACAUUAAUGGAGAAAUCAUCGGCUGAUGUAGAGAGUGGCAACCACCAUUCCAAUGAGAAAUCCUUAAACUCUCUUUAAGCCUCAUUCUUUCCCUUUUGAGCUUUUUGCUUUGUCCAUUUCCCUUAGGUUUUGCUUAUAUAGUCCCCUCAACACUUGAACUAUAAUACUCCCAUCUUUUUACCAGUUCAUUAAUUUUUCUUGUUGAAAGUAUUAAAAAAACAAUUUCUUUAGAACAAAGAUUUACAUUUAC